rnacentral:lncRNA from 1 species
AUCAGCCUCACCUUUGCUGCUAAGCUGCUGUUUUCUAGCGAGUGGGUUCAAGUAUCGCUUCAUUUUGGUGUUUUCAUGCCAGGACUCCUGUGUGUGGGAGACUGACUGUUCUUUGCUCGAGCCCUGAACACGAAGCCGUGAGCUCCAGUAAGUAGUUUUUUCAAUGUGCAGAAGCCAUGUUUUUCCAAUUGAUUGCUAUUGGUUUUGUUUUGGAUUUUCAAACAGACGCUGAGCUCCUGGGUCUGGUUCCACCGCUUCCUGCAGCUGCCAGUGACCCCUUGGCUUCUCCAAGCUCUCACGUGACCAGCAGAUAUAAAAAUGGCCAAACUGGGGCCAAGUGCCCUUUGAUGGGGAAGGACAUUCCUGGCGUCUCUCAGAUGUCUGUGCCGUGUUGCCGUAACCCAACUCCGGUUGAAAGCAUUUUCUUGGGGAGUAAAAAAAAAAAAAAAGGAGGCAGCUCACAGUCAACAGGGCGCAUGGACACCUGCGGCUCUGGCCCAGUUGUAGCUACACAUCGGCGCUGGACGUGACCCAACGACUCCGACCCGGUGAGCGCCGUGCAGCUGCUCUCAUAGAACCCAUCGUCAAUUUGUCCCCGUCAUUAAAAUUGGCUGUAAUUGGCCUAAUUGUGGUCAAUCAUGUUUGCCAACGGUGCAGAAAAGCGCAGGGUAUCUGUUUACAAGACGGGUGGAUGGUGGAGGUAGAGCAGACCGCUCUUAGCGCUAAUUGCUAAGUAUAGAUGACCUAUUUGAUCAAAAGAGGAACAAAUGAUGGGCUAAUGGGAGAGAGGCUGGAACAUCGUGGGGCCGUCUCUCCGCGCUUGACAAUGUCUUAUUUUUACCCCAUAAACCAUUUCCAUACCACCGGGCUGUUUAAAGUCAAUAUAUCACAGGAUCAGUCGCAGCGCCUCAUGACAGGAUU